rnacentral:rRNA from 1 species
AGAAUGAACGUUGGCGGCGUGGAUUAGGCAUGCAAGUCGUGCGCGAACCGUAGCAAUACGGGGAGAGCGGCGAAAGGGAGAGUAAUACGUAGGUAUCUACCCUUGAGUCUGGGAUAGCGGCGGGAAACUGCCGGUAAUACCAGAUGAUAGUCUCCGGACCAAAGGUGUGAUUCCGCUCGAGG